CGCGUAGGCGGUUCGUUAAGUUGCUGGUGAAAUCCCGGGGCUCAACUCCGGGGCUGCCGGCAAGACUGGCGGGCUCGAGCACGGUAGAGGCGGAUGGAAUUCCCGGUGUAGCGGUGGAAUGCGUAGAUAUCGGGAAGAAUACCGGUGGCGAAGGCGUUCCGCUGGGCCGUUGCUGACGCUGAGGCGCGACAGCGUGGGGAGCAAACAG
rnacentral:rRNA from 1 species